rnacentral:rRNA from 1 species
AUGCGCAACAAUACGUCAAAGAAAUUGCCGGUGCACCCGAAACGUGACCCGCUGCUGCACAAAUCAGUGAUUACGCCUCAUUGUCCGAUACAACCUGACGACUGCAUAACUCCAGAGGAGAAUCGAAAGUAUAUCCAUAAAUCUGACCUCCCAGAUUACCUUAUACCAAAGAUGGGGAUGGUGUUCAAGGACUUCGAUGCAGGCAGAGUGUUCUACAAUAGAUAUGCCAGACACGCUGUCUUUGGAACAAGAAUUGGACAGAAGAGUGGUUUCAAUAGAUACCUGUAUUGCACACGUGAAGGGGAGCACGUGAGCUCUGUUUCUGAAUCUGAGCGUCAGCGGGAGAAGACGACAAAGCGAUGUGGAUGCAAGGCGAAGCUGCGAUUAGAGGGGAAUGAGAACGAUGAUACAGUAGUCAUUGUCGACAUCAAUAUUGAGCAUAACCACCAACUAAUACAGAGCCCUACCAUGCUUGUGUUUCUUCAUUCCCACAAGUCAUUUCACCCCACUAUAUUGGAUUAUGUUAAGUUCCUCCAGUUCCAGAAUCUUCAGCACCAUACCAUUAUGUCUAUCCUAUAUGGAUCCCUCGGUGGCGGUCAGUUCUUGGCGUUGCACGGACGCGAUUUAAUCAACAGGAAGCUUCUUAACUCGAAGGAAGAUAGCAUCGAUGACGUCAAGAAGCUGUUGGGAUUCUUUGCUGAGAUGAAAGCAGUAAAUAAUGAAUUCUUCUUCGACUUCCAGAUUGAUGAGUUUGGUCGCAUAAAGAACAUAUUCUGGGCUAAUGCAAGCUGCAGGGGCGCAUACCAAGAUUUUGGUGAUGUGAUGACAUUUGACACCACUUAUAAGACAAAUCAGUACCUUAUGCCUUUUUGA